rnacentral:rRNA from 1 species
AUUGAACGCUGGCGGCAGGCCUAACACAUGCAAGUCGAACGAGUGGCGGACGGGUGAGUAAUGUCUGGGAAACUGCCCGAUGGAGGGGGAUAACUACUGGAAACGGUAGCUAAUACCACAUACCAUCGGAUGUGCCCAGAUGGGAUUAGCUAGUAGGUGGGGUAACGGCUCACCUAGGCGACGAUCCCUAGCUGGUCUGAGAGGAUGACCGGCAACACUGGAACGGGAACACGGUCCAGACUCCUACGGGAGGCAGCAGUGGGGAAUAUUGCACAAUGGGCGAAGGCCUGAUGCGGCCAUGCCGGGUGGAUGAAGAAGGCCUUGGGGUUGUAAAGUACUUUCAGCGAGGAGGCGUUACUCGCAGAAGAAGCACCGGCUAACUCCGUGCCAGCAGCCGCGGUAAUU